GCCCGGCUGGCUCAGUCAGUAGAGCAUAUGACUCUUGAUCUCAGGGUUGUAAGUUCAAGCCCCAUGUUGGGCC
rnacentral:tRNA from 1 species